GGAGGAAAGUAGGGGAUCGAAAGACCUUGCGCUUAAGGAGCGGCCGAUGCCUGAUUAGCUAGUUGGUGGGGUAAAGGCCUACCAAGGCAACGAUCAGUAGUUGGUCUGAGAGGACGACCAACCACACUGGGACUGAGACACGGCCCAGACUCCUACGGGAGGCAGCAGUGGGGAAUUUUGGACAAUGGGCGCAAGCCUGAUCCAGCCAUGCCGCGUGAGUGAAGAAGGCCUUCGGGUUGUAAAGCUCUUUCAGUUGGGAAGAAACGAUUGCAACUAAUAAUUGUAAUUAAUGACGGUACCGACAGAAGAAGCACCGGCUAACUACGUGCCAGCAGCCGCGGUAAUACGUAGGGUGCGAGCGUUAAUCGGAAUUACUGGGCGUAAAGGGUGCGCAGGCGGUUUUGUAAGUCAGAUGUGAAAUCCCCGGGCUUAACCUGGGAAUGGCGUUUGAAACUACAAAGCUAG
rnacentral:rRNA from 1 species